GCGUGUGCGACAUUCAGGCGCGUGUAAGUGACAGUGACGGAUCCAGCACGCAAACCCCCUGGGCUGAAAUGUGGAUUUUCGAGCCACUCGGAAAAUCUGAGAUUUAUUAGUGGGUUGGUAACUUUAAUUACAAAUUUUCUGGAGAGCUGCAAUACAUGCUGGAAUGUAUAGAUGAGGGUCAAAAGGUUUCGACACGCGUUCGAGUGAUGUGCAAUAUUUUAGAUCAUUCAAAAGGCAACAGGUGAAUGAAACUAUUCAUUUUUACAGACACUGUUGCUCCUCCUGAAAUGCAGAUAAAUAUUAAUAAAUACAAUUCGUGACGGUAUCAUAAGGAAGUGUAUUACGUAACUAAAAGAAAAAUGUACACCUGAUGACGUCUCCAAGCAGAAACAGAAUAUCGAGUAAUUUAAUAAUAUAAGAAAUUAUAUUGACCAAAUAUAUAUUUCUCCACUUGCACUGUGACUGAUAAUGAUCGUAGAGAUGGAGAAAAAAAUAGCAAC